GAUGAAGAACGUAGCGAAAUGCGAUAAGUAAUGUGAAUUGCAGAAUUCAGUGAAUCAUCGAAUCUUUGAACGCACAUUGCGCCCGCCAGUAUUCUGGCGGGCAUGCCUGUUCGAGCGUCAUUACAACCCUCAGGCCCCCGGGCCUGGCGUUGGGGAUCGGCGGAAGCCCCCUGCGGGCACAACGCCAUCCCCCAAAUACAGUGGCGGUCCCGCCGCAGCUUCCAUUGCGUAGUAGCUAACACCUCGCAACUGGAGAGCGGCGCGGCCACGCCGUAAAACACCCAACUUCUGAAUGUUGACCUCGAAUCAGGUAGGAAUACCCGCUGAACUUAAGCAUAUCAAUAAGCGGAGGA
rnacentral:misc_RNA from 1 species